GAUGUAACAAACAGAGACAGGGGUGCCAGCACAGAGCUGAGCUGCCCAGACUGGACUGGUGGUGCAAGCCUCGGACAGAUGGCUGACAUCCUCAAGGGCUCGCAGCCUAAAAUGUCUCUGCUAUGAGGUUGGCUCACGAGGCUCUUAGGAACCAGCCCCGUUCGGUACCCUGUCGUGGCAGGAGCUGGUGACACCCUCAUGAUACAACAUUCACUGUGUAUGAUCCUGUGGAGCUGGGAGGAUUCAGGACAGCAGAGAGAAUUACUGAUGCCACCCAGAGCCCACCAGGAAACUCCACAAAUAUAUCAAGUCUUCAACCAUUCCCUACUUUUUGAUCUAAGUCUGUAUUAUAACAAAGACUAUUCCUAUGCAUGUCUCAACGGUCAAAAUUUUUAUUAUGUUUAUGAGGGAGGGGCCUUCAUAUCCCAUAAUGUAUGUGUGGAGGUCAGAGGAAAAUUUGUGGGAGUCAUCUUACUUCUUCCGCCAUGUGGGUCCUGGGGAUCAAGCUCAAGUUGUAGAUGGAAAAACUGAGGUUCCAGAGCAGGCAGUGGCUUAUCCAAACAUCCCCGAAGCAUACAAAUGCAGGAAGUCAGAGCCUCAGCCCGGCUGCCAGGCAUUUUCUGUUAAACUGCUCCCACCUGUGACAAUUCAGAAGCUUAAAAGGAAACUUCUUCCCCAGAGAUCAGCUCUAAGCCCAGGGGAGUCAUAAUAAAGAUGAA
rnacentral:lncRNA from 1 species